rnacentral:ncRNA from 1 species
AAGGUAGAGGUGCGGAUGCGAUCAGUAUCCGGACGGAGGAUAACCAGUCCUUUGAAGUCCGGUGAAAGGCAAUUCCGCCGAAGAACUGUUUUCGGUAAAUUCAGUUCUGGUCACAGGUCAAACAGGUCUGCGACUGUCAUCAUACUUUAUGAUGGAGAGCUAUCGG